rnacentral:rRNA from 1 species
GAUCCUGGCUCAGGAUGAACGCUAGCUACAGGCUUAACACAUGCAAGUCGGAGGGGCAGCAUGGUCUUAGCUUGCUAAGACUGAUGGCGACCGGCGCACGGAUGAGUAACACGUAUCCAACCUGCCGUCUACUCUUGGACAGCCUUCUGAAAGGAAGAUUAAUACAAGAUGGCAUCAUGAGUCCGCAUGUUCACAUGAUUAAAGGUAUUCCGGUGGACGAG